ACUCAGGCUGAAAGAGAGCAUAAAAGAGGAGCAGACCAGGAGAGAGUUCAGCAGAGAGGCAGGAUGGACAUGUCUGCAUCAGUGAUCCUCGCAGGGCUGAUCCUGGCCCUGCUGUGGCUGUUCGGGGUCAAAAGUAAGAGGAAGUAUAAAUUACCUCCAGGACCUGCUGCUCUGCCGCUCAUAGGAAACUUACCACAGCUGGAGAAAGGUGUGCCUUUUAAAAGCUUUGUCAAGGUAAGUUCAGGAACAGAGUUAUGCUGCAGUAUUUGACCUGAAGAAAUGAUUUUUGAUUGCAUAAUGAAUAUAUUCAUAUCUCCUUCCAGUUCAGUGAAACGUAUGGUCCUGUGAUAACAGUGUACCUGGGCUGGCAGCGUACGGUUGUUCUAGUAGGAUAUGACGCGGUCAAAGAGGCUCUGGUGGACCAGGCAGAUGACUUCACGGGCAGAGGACCUCUUCCUUUUCUCAUGAAAGCUACCAAGGGCUACGGUAAAACCUCAAACCUAUCUCCUCUGUCAGGAUGAAGGGCUAUUUCCAUGAUUUCUGCAUGCAUAGAUGUUUAACAGGAUGUCUUCUGCUCAGGUUUGGGGAUCAGUAAUGGAGAGCGUUGGCGGCAGCUGCGGCGUUUCACUCUGUCAACCUUACGGGACUUUGGGAUGGGACGAAAGGGGAUGGAGGAGUGGAUCCAGGAAGAGAGCGGCCACCUGAGAAACCGGAUCGAGUCAUUCAAAGGUGUGUUCGUGUCGCUUUAAGAGCAGAAAUAAGAUUGUAAGAUGUUGAAACUGUUUUUGUAAAUCCAAGCUGCUUCUCAGACUGAAAAUUUGGAAGAAAAAAAAGCUGCCAAACCAGCUCAACACGUCAAAACUGAGUAAGAAUAAUUUAACUCUUAAAAGAUCCUUAAAUGUGUGUUUUUUUAAACUGUCACUGCAAAAAAUAAAAAUAGUGAUGCAUCAAAAUCAUUAUUAUUAUUAUUUUGUUAUAAUAAUUAUAACAAAAUACUGUUUGAAAUGUAUUUUAUAGAGAUUUAAAAAAGCUAAAAAAUAUUUAAAAAUAUUUGAUGUUUCAUUCAGGCUGCAGUAGUUUUAAACAAAUGACCUUUUUAAGGUAAAAAAAAUAUGAAUAUAUAAAAUUUUUACAGCGUUUUUUUCAAAGGUUGACGUUUUUGUCACGAGGGACAAAUGUGUAAAUGUGUUCAGGAUCUUUUGAGAGUUAACGUUGAUUAAAAAACUGAAAAAUAAAACUGCCUUUUUUAUACACAGUGUGACUUCUGACAGCAAAAUAUAGUCUUAAAACUCUUAAUAAAAACACCGAACAACAUUAUGAAACAAGUUGAUCACCAACAGAGGAGAGUGUUGCUGCGUUAUUGGAUUGUUUUAAGCUGCUCUCUUUAAUCAUUACCUCAGUCUGAUGGCAGUGUGUGUGUGCAGAGUAAACAGAGUCUGUUACAUAACUGCUGAACCGCGGAGACUUAACUCUGAUUCUUUUUAACGGAAAAAUUAAACAGGAAACUUUCAGUGCUUUAAUUUGGAUUGUCUUCCACUAAACAAACAAACAAACGGAAAGAAAACAAAAAAACAAAUGCACUCAGAAAGUAGAAAGAACUCUAUAACUUUUCAAAGCAUCGGUUUAUCAGUUUUACCAAAUAUUUGCAAACCUUCUGUUUGACCUCAGAGGUGAAUCUGAGAGUCUGUUAUGAUAGGUGGACGUCAUGCAUUAGCCAGCUGAACUUCUACGGUGGCCCUGAGGUGCAAAACACAACGACAAAAGAGAAAACACAACGACAUUAACUUUUGUAUUUUCUCUCUCUUUGUGUUGUGUUUUCUGAUUUGCCGUUGUGUUUUGCACCUCAGGGCCACCGUAGAAACUCCAACAUUUAACAAGAAUAAAUAGGAACUGAAUGAAGCCACCAUCAUCUUAAGUGUUUUUAAGUUACUGUUCAUGCUGUCGGUGCUCUUUGGCUGAUAAAAUCAUGUUUUGUUGCAGUUUUUUAAUCUUCAUCUUUAAUAGUUGCUCCUGACUUUAACAGUCUGAUCUUCUACCACAGCGAAACCCUUCGACCCCACGUUCCUGAUGAGCUGCACCGUGUCCAACAUCAUCUGUUGUAUGGUCUUCAGUCAGCGCUUCGACUAUGACGACAAAGAGUUUUUGAGCCUUCUCAACAUCAUAUCCGAGGUUUUACGGUUCAACAGCAGCACCAAGGGUCAGGUAGGUGGAAGUGGACUCAACAAAGACCGGCUCCUGGUUAUCUUGAAGAGGUUUUCAGCUGGUGUCCUCCUAUAAUCAUCAUGUGUGACCCUAACCCACAGCUCUAUAACGUCUUCCCUUGGAUCAUGGAGCAUCUUCCCGGAGAGCAGCACAAAAUGUUCGCACAUAUCGAGGAGCUGAGACAGUUCAUCAAGAAGAAGAUCCAAGAGCACAAAGAGACACUUGAUCCCAACUCCCCGAGAGACUUUAUCGACUGUUUCUUCCUGCGGAUGGAUCAGGUGAGCAGAUCAGACUCUGUCCUUCUGCUGAUUGAAUCACAUGAUUAGUCUGAGUUUCGGUCUGUGUGUUCAUCUUCUACUGCGUCAUCUUCUCAGGAAAAGGACUUGCCAUCGAGUGAGUUCCAGUUUGAGAACAUGGUUUCUACAGUGUUGAAUCUUUUCCUGGCAGGGACAGAAACCACCAGCACCACCCUCAGAUACGGCCUCAGUGUGCUGAUCAAAUACCCGAGAAUUCAAGGUGGGUCUGAAGAGUCCUCUUUCUGACCACUGAGCUCUGUUUCUUGAACAGGUUUGGUUCUGUCAGGAGUGAAUACGUCCUCAUUUCCAGUUUUAAACCUGAAUACGUUUCAAUUUGUGCCUCACAGAGAAAAUGCAGCAAGAAAUUGACACAGUGAUUGGACGAAACCGGUGUCCAAACAUGGAGGACAGGAAGUCCCUCCCCUUUACAGAUGCAGUUAUCCAUGAGGUACAACGGUUUUUGGACAUUGUCCCCUUCAGCCUCCCUCACUACGCUCUCAAGGACAUCCCUUUCAGGGGUUAUACCAUCCCCAAGGUAAUCUCGGUGAGAAGAUGUGAUUUUCAACGAGUGGAAAAGAGUAAAAAUACACUAAAAUGUAAGGCUGCACAAUAUUGGAAAAAAAUAAUAUUGCGAUUUUUUCAACCCUGCGAUAUAUAUUGCGAUAUUAAAAAUACAGUAUUUUCACCAGAUGACCUGAAUAGCACUUAAUGUUAUGCUGCACUGCUGAAAUCUUGAGGACAGUUAAUCUGCUCUGAUCUCACCUCUUUUUGUGAAUGUUAGUAGAACGGCUUCUGUCUGUCUCAGAGAUAUUUUUAGCUUUUAUUGUGCUGGGACGUUAUUGUGGCCACAGAUGAACACAGAACACGUGUUUUGGUCGACAUCAUCCUACUUUUAACCGAAAUAAUUCCAGAUAACUGACUUUCCUUUUCUUUUUGGCAACAAAUCUUCAUUUUCGGUGGUUUUCUCUUGUUCGUUGUUCAUUUUGCGAUCGUUGAUGUUGUUGUUAGCGGUGUUGUGCCGAGAAACGCAUGUCCUCCGAGAAUUGCAUGCACCUCGCAAAACGCGCACCGCUUAUAGUAGAGUGGUCCACGGAAAUGUACAAUUUAAAACCCAUACAGUUCUUAUUUGUUGGGCUUAAUAGUCAUGAGUAAAGUUCCGAAAGUAAUUCUCAGCGGACACACGUCUCCCUCCAUGUGCAGAACAUGUGCAGGGGUGGGUUUUCUCCUCCCUGAUUUUGAUUGACAGCUGGCAGGGUAGUCUGAUUGGCAACUGAGAAGUGAGUCUGAUUGGCAACUGAGUUAAGGACGAAGGCGAUUGGUGGAUCGCUGCACAGCACAUGCAGAGUCACAUGGAGUGUAUCUCAGUCGGUUACCUUUGAAAUUAAAUGAGUUCAUUCACCUCCAAUAUCGCAGGCUCUGCGAUGUGACUAUCGCACACACGUACAUCGCGAUGACGAUAGUCAAACGAUAUAUCGUUCAGGCCUACUAAAAUGACGUCUUGUCUCCCAGGACACUGUCGUUAUUCCCCUGUUGCACUCUGUGCUGAAAGGGGGUAAGCAAUGGGAAACUCCCUGGACCUUCAACCCUGAGCACUUCUUGGACCAGAACGGCAACUUUAAGAAGAAUCCAGCUUUCCUUCCCUUUUCUGCAGGUAAAAAUGUCUGACCAGGAUGUUCGCUGUUCUCAUUAACCCUUUACACUCAGUUUUCCCAUCUCUGGAUCUGUAUGUUCCUGUCUCCUCACAGGGAAGAGAGCCUGUGUCGGGGAGUCUCUCGCUCGUAUGGAGCUUUUUAUCUUCAUGGUGUCGCUGCUGCAGCACUUCACCUUCUCCUGCUCUGGGGGUCCGGACAGUAUAGACCUCAUCCCAGAGUUCAGCGGCUUUGCUAAUUUGCCUCGCAGGGACAAGAUCAUCGCCACGCCACGAUGACAGGAGGAGCUCCAGUUACGUUUGGUGGACUGUUGAUGUUUGCAGUUAACCAGUUGAUCAAAUAGACCGAAAACUUAAGAAACAGUGAAUCCUCUUUUUUUGUCUUUUUGUUGUCUUUGUAAAAAUCCUAUUUUACAUACUUUCCCACAAAAUUGAAUGAGAAUUAUUUCUAUAAUAAAAAUGGAUUUCUUCAUAACGGCUACAAGUUGUGUUUUU